rnacentral:lncRNA from 1 species
GGAGAACAGAAAGUGUACAGUGGUUGUUCCUGGAGAGAGACUGCUAAAAGAGACAUCAGACAAUGGCAGCGAUGUAACCAAGUUCCUCAUGAAGAUCUCAGAUGCAGACUGUCAGAACUGGCUUGACCAAUUUUUGGUCCCCUGGGAGAAAAUGCUGGAGACAACAGCAUCACCACCCACAGGCCCAGGUACAACCCAUUCCAGGGCCGUGGCCAUCACUCCUGUCACCUGGAUCUUCCUGGUGCCCCUCACCUUCUCUGUUCUCCUUGGCAUCCUAGGCUGAGUCCAUCUCGUAACAGAGGCUGGAGUUGCUACCAAGAAGCCCCUGGGCGUCUGCCCUCGUUCCUCCACUCUCCCUUCUGGUUGGCGGCCUUGCCAUCACCUGCUCUUCCUCUCUCCACCACCAGGAGUUUCAGCCCCUACAGCAAAGGCAGAGGCCCCAGGAGUCCUGAUGACCAGGGAGAUGCAGCUUUGCCUUCCCUUUAUGCGCUUGGCUGAUAAUCUGCUUGACACUUUUUCUAAGCAUCGGGGCCAUUUCUCUCGGUGCUAAGUGUUGGGAUUCCUGCACUGAGCCUUCGAACUGCUCGAACAAGAAUCUCAACCCAGAGUCUGUUUCCACCUUCUCUCUGGUUGUGGAAAAUCAGAUGCAUCUCUAUGUCCUGACCCUGUUCUUGCACAUGAUAUUGCCAGAAAACUGUCGUGUGAGACUGCAGAACUUCCGGGAUUCUUUAUGUGUCCUGAGAAACAGCUUUGUGUGUUUUCAACAGAACAAGAUUAUAUUUAUGAUUGUUUCCUUUCAUAAUUUAUUGUCUUGCCACGG